GAAACCAGAUAACCCAAAAAACAACUGCCGGACCAAUUCUCAGGAGAAUGAAAUGAGAAAAUUAGAGCAUAUUUGCUUCUGUGAAUGUGAAACAUCAAGCUCCAGCAACCUGAUGCCUCACAUUUCCUGCAUUUGCAGUCAUGUGCCGGGUGUGUGUGUUGACAAGCUUGGGAAGGAUUGAAGAAAAAAAAAAGUUUUUUUCUGUAAGGGUGCCUGUCACGGUGAGAGAGAACAUUGUACCAAAACCUGGCGUCACUGUGUGGUACCGUAAAAGCAAAGAAUGCCUUGCAACAGAUUCCUUCUGUUUAAUAAGACUGACAAAAAUGACCUGGUGAGAGACAACUGUUAGCCAUCCUGCUACUGAUGUACAAAUCAAAUUUGUAGAAAUAUUCAAGGACCAACUAGUAGCUGUGCUGUGGAUUGGUUCUAGAGUUCAGAUAUCAAAGGAUGAUGGGUUAUUUUUUUAGGGGUGGUGCUGUUUGUGAAUAUUUUCACAUAUAUAUGUAGGAUAGGUACACGUACUACACUUGGAAAUGCUAAUUGCACUAGUUGUACAUAACAUUUGUCUUCUGAAUAAAUGAGGUGGUGAAAAUAAUUACAAGUCUUCAAAUUGUAUUAGCUCUUCAUAUCUUUAUAUUAAAAUGUGACAUACUUUUCCAAAGAAAAAGAGAAGUUCUGCUUUUCCCACCAGCUGUGAUUCUAUUGCCAGCAGCUAAAUAAAAAUCUAAAAUGGU